rnacentral:rRNA from 1 species
AACAAACGCUGGCGGCGUGCCUAAUACAUGCAAGUCGAACGGGUAGCAAUACCAGUGGCGCACGGGUGAGGAAUACAUAGAUAAUCUGCCCUCGAGUCGGGGAUAACCAGUCGAAAGAUUGGCUAAUACAGGAUAAGACCACAGGAGCUGAGGAUCUCGGGGUUAAAGGUUUUUCGCUUGAAGAUGAGUCUAUGCGAGAUUAGCUAGUUGGUGAGGCAAUGGCUCACCAAGGCGACGAUCUCUAACUGGUCUUAGAGGAUGAUCAGUCACACUGGAACUGAGACACGGUCCAGACUCCUACGGGAGGCAGCAGUAGGGAAUAUUGCGCAAUGGGGGAAACCCUGACGCAGCGACGCCGCGUGAGUGAUGAAGGCCUUCGGGUCGUAAAGCUCUGUCGUAUGGGAAUAACACAAUGAAUGUACCAUGCAAGAAAGGAUCGGCUAACUUCGUGCCAGCAGCCGCGGUAA